UGCCAGCCGCCGCGGUAAUACGAAGGGUGCUAGCGUUGUUCGGAAUUACUGGGCGUAAAGAGCACGUAGGUGGUUUGGUAAGUCGGAUGUGAAAGCCCUGGGCUCAACCUGGGAAUUGCAUCCGAUACUGCUUAGCUAGAGUAUGAGAGAGGGUAGUGGAAUUCCGGGUGUAGCGGUGAAAUGCGUAGAUAUCCGGAGGAACAUCAGUGGCGAAGGCGGUUCCCUGGACCACAACUGACGCUGAGGCGCGAAAGCGUGGGGAGCAAACAGGAUUAGAUA
rnacentral:rRNA from 1 species